rnacentral:rRNA from 1 species
AACGAACGCUGGCGGCAUGCCUAACACAUGCAAGUCGAACGAGACCUUCGGGUCUAGUGGCGCACGGGUGCGUAACGCGUGGGAACCUGCCCUUAGGUUCGGAAUAACUCCCCGAAAGGGGUGCUAAUACCGGAUAAUGUCUUCCGACCAAAGAUUUAUCGCCUUUGGAUGGGCCCGCGUUGGAUUAGCUAGUUGGUAGGGUAAAAGCCUACCAAGGCGACGAUCCAUAGCUGGUCUGAGAGGAUGAUCAGCCACACUGGGACUGAGACACGGCCCAGAAUCCUACGGGAGGCAGCAGUGGGGAAUAUUGGACAAUGGGCGAAAGCCUGAUCCAGCAAUGCCGCGUGAGUGAUGAAGGCCUUAGGGUUGUAAAGCUCUUUUAACCGGGAUGAUAAUGACAGUACCGGGAGAAUAAGCUCCGGCUAACUACGUG